rnacentral:rRNA from 1 species
AGUGAACGCUGGCGGUAGGCCUAACACAUGCAAGUCGAACGGCAGCACAGUAAGAGCUUGCUCUUACGGGUGGCGAGUGGCGGACGGGUGAGGAAUACAUCGGAAUCUACUUUUUCGUGGGGGAUAACGUAGGGAAACUUACGCUAAUACCGCAUACGACCUACGGGUGAAAGCAGGGGAUCUUCGGACCUUGCGCGAUUGAAUGAGCCGAUGUCGGAUUAGCUAGUUGGCGGGGUAAAGGCCCACCAAGGCGACGAUCCGUAGCUGGUCUGAGAGGAUGAUGGGCAACAUUGGAACGUGGACGGGGCCCAGACUACUACGGGAGGCAGCAGUGGGGAAUAUUGGACAGUGGGCGCAAGCCUGAUCCAGCCAUACCGCGUGGGUUGAGAAGGCGUUGGGGUUGUAAAGCCAUUUUGUUGGGAGAGAAAAGCAGCAGGUUAAUACCCCGCUGUUCUGACGGUACCCAAAGAAUAAGCACCGGCUAACUUCGUG